ACCCCUUUACACAUGGAUCUCUGGUUCUCAGUUUAUUUUGGAGAGAAAAGAGCGAAACGAAGGAGAAAGAAAGAGGAGGGGGUUCGAUCUAUAUAUGCAAUUGACGCGAAGCUCAUUGAUUGUUCUCCGGAGUAGAUUGAUUAUUAUUGUUGAAGAUCGCACAUCACCGAUUCGGCAUAAGAUCGAAAUCGAAUCGACUUUCUUAUUAUGAGAUUCAAUCUCCAAUAACUUUCUCGACUGAAGAGAUGAAGGGAGCAAAACCGAGAAGAGAUGGAGAAGAGAGAGGGUUCGAAUGAGCAAAACCGCAGGAGAAGGGUUUCAAUCUCUCUUGAUAUUGCAUUCUCCACCCAAUGUUUUCUUUGAAUUCGAAGGUGUAAUUAGAUAAUGAUGAUUGAAGGCCAUUGGGCCCAAUGGAUCUUCAUAAGGUAAUAUUAAUUAAGCUCAAUUGUAUUGUUGCAGCUUGGGGACUACUCAACUACUGUCUAUUUGAAUUUUAGGGCAUUCUUUGGGAAAAGUCUGAUGUAACAAGGGAAAGCUACAAAUUACAAGAAUUAUCAGAACAUCACCUUAUGAGGCGAACUACAAGAUAAAGAAUGCAAACAAAUGGAAAGGGGUAGUACUAUGAGUUAUUCCAAAAUACCAGAUUGGGGAAUCCCAUAAUUCUCGAUUUUCAGGCAUCUUGGAAUUUAUUCUUGGUGGGGGAAAAUGUAUUUAUACCCAGAAUUGGAACAAUUUGAGAUCAAAGCUUAAAAAGCAAGUACUGACUUAUUCAAAUGUAUGCUUUAUCUUAUGUUUUGAUAUUGCUAUGCCUUGCUUCAGGGCAGCCCAUUUGUUAUUCUCCCUAAAACUUUUCUCUCUCUUUUCCUCUAAAAGCUAGAGUUCUAUCUUUCCCUCUUAAUGCUUAGAUGGAGUUCAUUAUACUAUUGUGCCAAAAUAUAAUGCAAGAGAUACUUGUUUCGAAAAUAUUUUACAUUGCUCUGAUAUUGCUUCAUCUAGUCGGAUUACAUUGAGAGGUGAGUAUAAUUUUUUAGUAUCUUCAUCUUUUUUAGUGUUUUGAA